rnacentral:rRNA from 1 species
UGGGGAAUAUUGGACAAUGGGGGCAACCCUGAUCCAGCGAUGCCGCGUGUGUGAAGAAGGCCUGCGGGUUGUAAAGCACUUUAAGUUGGGAGGAAGGGCAGUUACCUAAUACGUGAUUGUUUUGACGUUACCGACAGAAUAAGCACCGGCUAACUCUGUGCCAGCAGCCGCGGUAAUACAGAGGGUGCAAGCGUUAAUCGGAAUUACUGGGCGUAAAGCGCGCGUAGGUGGUUAGUUAAGUUGGAUGUGAAAUCCCCGGGCUCAACCUGGGAACUGCAUUCAAAACUGACUGACUAGAGUAUGGUAGAGGGUGGUGGAAUUUCCUGUGUAGCGGUGAAAUGCGUAGAUAUAGGAAGGAACAUCGGUGGCGAAGGCGUCUACCUGGCCUAAUACUGACACUGAGGCACGAAAGCGUGGGGAGCAAACAGGAUUAGAUACCCCGGUAGUCCCUGAGCGGGCUGGCAAGGCGCAU